UACAGAGGUCUCAAGCGUUGUUCGGAUUCAUUGGGCGUAAAGGGUGCGUAGGCGGCGCGGUAAGUCGGGUGUGAAAUCUCGGGGCUUAACUCCGAAACUGCAUUCGAUACUGCCGUGCUUGAGGACUGGAGAGGAGACUGGAAUUUACGGUGUAGCGGUGAAAUGCGUAGAUAUCGUAAGGAACACCAGUGGCGAAGGCGGCUCACUGGCCCGGUACUGACGCUGAGGCGCGAAAGCGUGGGGAGCAAACAGG
rnacentral:rRNA from 1 species